AUUGAACGCUGGCGGCAUGCCUUACACAUGCAAGUCGAACGGCAGCACGGGAGCAAUCCUGGUGGCGAGUGGCGAACGGGUGAGUAAAGUAUCGGAACGUGCCCAGUCGUGGGGGAUAACGUAGCGAAAGUUACGCUAAUACCGCAUACGAUCUAUGGAUGAAAGCGGGGGAUCGCAAGACCUCGCGCGAUUGGAGCGGCCGAUAUCAGAUUAGGUAGUUGGUGGGGUAAAGGCUCACCAAGCCGACGAUCUGUAGCUGGUCUGAGAGGACGACCAGCCACACUGGGACUGAGACACGGCCCAGACUCCUACGGGAGGCAGCAGUGGGGAAUUUUGAACAAUGGGCGAAAGCCUGAUCCAGCCAUGCCGCGUGCAGGAUGAAGGCCUUCGGGUUGUAAACUGCUUUUGUACGGAACGAAAAGGUUUGGGCUAAUAAGCUGAGCCCAUGACGGUACCGUAAGAAUAAGCACCGGCUAACUACGUGCCAGCCGCCGCGGUAA
rnacentral:rRNA from 1 species